rnacentral:lncRNA from 1 species
CUGGAUUUACAAAUAAGCAAAUGCAGAAGAUUGAAGGGAAAAGUUGACAGUAAAGAAGGAGGAAAAAGAAGAAGCUGAAGAAAGUUGUUAUGUAAUGAUUAGUUAGUUGCAUUUCAGUUAUUUGUAACUAACUAAGAAAAGAAAAAAUAAUUAAAUGCUUUUCUGUAGGCCUAGCUGUUAAAGGCUGUAAAAAGAUCACACAAUACGUGUGUUCUCCCCAAAUCAGUUUAUAAGGGGCAUUUUGUCAAGCAUGUUGUGUGUGGAAAAUAUAUACAAGAAUUACCUUUUUCUGCAACUCUCUCCAUUCUUCAACCUUCUGUGCAAACCUUUUUCUCCUACUACCCAAAUCAACAAUCAACCUACAAAUCAUCAAAUAAACACAAUCAAACACAAGAUUAAAAACUUCAACAUGGUAUCAGAGCAGUAACUUGAUCAACAAGGGACUGAAAACAUAAAAUUCCAGAAAAGAUGGUGUCCAGUGGAGAUUUACGAACACCUCAGUUCAACGGUGUGAACUAUGACUUUUGGGCAGUGAAGAUGGAGACAAUCCUCAUAGCAUUUGAUCUAUGGGAUGUAGUUGAGUUUGGCAUGAAAUCAGGUUCAAGUGUGAAAGAAGAAGAAUCUGAGAAAGAAGAUAAGAAGAAUGAUGAAACCGAGAGCAAAGAUGGUGAAACUAAGAGCAGCAUAGCUGAAGAAGCUGUUUUCAGAGAAAACAAAAUAAGAAAUGCCAAGGCAUUGAGCCUCAUCCAAGGAGCCGUGACUGAUGAACUUUUUCCUAGAAUAAGGAAUGAGAAUACUGCACAAGGAGCAUGGAAUGUGCUGAAAAGAGAGUAUAGAGGUGAUAAGAAAGUGAGGUCUGUGAAAUUGCAAGCUGUGAGGGCAGAGUUUGAAUACAUGAGAAUGUCAGAAGGAGAAGGCUUAGAACACUAUCUUUCUAAGUUUUUUGAAGCUAUAAACAGUCUGAAAUCUCUAGGAGAAGAUGUACCUGAGAUUAGGAUUGUGCAGAAGCUCCUAAUGAGUUUAAAUAGGAGAUACAAGUCCAUUGUCUCUAUCAUUGAAGAGACAAGGGACCUUGAUGUGCUGAAGGUGGAAGAAGUUAUAGCCUCUGUCAAAGUAUUUGACAAGAGGGAAGACCUG